UCGGGAAUAUUGCGCAAUGGAGGAAACUCUGACGCAGUGACGCCGCGUGCAGGAAGAAGGUUUUAGGAUUGUAAACUGCUUUAGACAGGGAAGAAAAAAGACAGUACCUGUAGAAUAAGCUCCGGCUAACUACGUGCCAGCAGCCGCGGUAAUACGUAGGGAGCAAGCGUUAUCCGGAUUUAUUGGGUGUAAAGAGUGCGUAGACGGGAUGGCAAGUUGGUUGUGAAAUCCCUCGGCUCAACCGAGGAACUGCAACCAAAACUACUAUUCUUGAGUGCUGGAGGGGAAAGUGGAAUUCCUAGUGUAGCGGUGAAAUGCGUAGAUAUUAGGAGGAACAUCAGUGGCGAAGGCGACUUUCUGGACAGUAACUGACGUUGAGGCACGAAAGUGUGGGGAGCAAACAGG
rnacentral:rRNA from 1 species